CACUACUGCCUUGAACCCAUGCAAGGUACUUAGUUCUCUCGUUGCAGCCAUCUGCUCCCCGGCCUCCCCUGCUUAUUAGUCAAUCGCCAGCCCGAGCCUCAGCCCCACCAGGCUUUUGCGGUUACCUGGACGUGCUUCAGGGCCUCCCAACCUGACGCAGGUCCUCUCUGAGCAGUUUUGUGCCCAUGCUCGUUUCUGAGUGGUGACUGUGGUUCUCACCCCCUCGAGGGCUGCGCCGGGAUGGCCCUCAUAUCCAGCAACCCCAGGCAUCGGUUCCGCUCUGAUCAUUACCGUAAUCUCUGCAAGCCGCGCGCGUUGACCUGGCUCUCUCCUGCAGAAGCCCCGGGGAAGCGCCCUGGUAGGCCACGCCCACGUCCAAAGAAAAGUGACAGUGUGCUUUCCUCCCCAGGAUUUCCUGAGCAGAUACCAGAUCACCAAACGUUCCUGGGUGGGGGCCCGGCGAGGCCCCCAGGGCUGGCACUGGACCGAUGGGACCCCCUUGCCAACCCAGCUGUGAGUGACCGUGGGCUUCCUCCCGCUCUGCUGUUCGGGAUCUUCCCAUGCCCCACCCAGCCUGCAGUGCCAUUAGGGAGACCCACCCCACCCAGGACCCUGGCAUCAGUUUCGUCCCUUUUUCUCCACCCCUCCUGUGGGUCCCCCAGCGCGUUCACCCAAGCAGGACCAUCACUGCCAUCUCACAGAUACGAAGUCUACAGCCAGAGCCAUUCGGUGUUCACCAGUGCCACACAGCUGACCAACAGGGGACAUCCUUUGUCCUUUCCAGACAGCCCCCUGCCUCUGUGCAGUGACCUACACAGUAUCUGGGUCCAUGGAGGGACUGGGCACGCAGCUGGGCGGGCCCAUGCCAGCCAGGAGGCCUGAUAUCCUGAGCGUCUCCCAUUUCCCCUCUCGCCCUUCCCAGACUUCCAGAGGAGGGUGAGGACAACCCAGAUCUCAGUUGCGGGGUCCUGGAGGAAGGCCAGCUCCUGGCUCUAGACUGCAGCUCUCCCAGACCCUGGAUCUGUGCCAAGGAGACCAAGUGAUUUGGGUUUCACCUUGCCCAGCCUGUUGGGGGCCAAGGUGAGAUCGGGGGCAGCCUCUUCACCAACCCCAGGGACUGGGACUUCCAGUGCACAGUGGCCCCAUCUGAAGGGAAGAUUUGCUUGGGCCUCAGGUCAAGUGCCAAUUUUGGUCUCCAAUUUGCUGAUAUGUUCCAUCACUUGGGGACGGUUUCUAGCAUGUCUGGGCCUCAGUUUACCCUUCAUUAACAUGGACUUUUCCCUUCUCUCCCUGACCAGCUUCAUCAUACCACCCAUCUUCCAGACCCAGAGGAAGGAGCCAAUCAACAACCACAGAUGAUUCCAGUCUGGGUUCCCUCUUGAUCCCACUGACAUGAGUCUUGCAAGUGAUGUGGCAAAGGGACUUGGCAGGGACUUUGGCAUCAUUGCUCAGGUUCCAUUUCCAGGCAGCUGAUGUACACUGACACAGGUGACCAGCCUGUGACAGUGCCAUAGAAAACCAAGUGGGCGGGCCUGGAGGAGGGCAGGGGAGCUUUCCUUCCCCACCCUGCAAGCUGGAGAGGCUGGUGGACAGUAAGCACCUGCUUGGAGGUCUAGCACGUGGGGCUGGUGGGGGCCCCCAGCUAGCCAGUGCCCCAGGUUGGGAGGAAGCAAUGGGCCUCCUGGGUAAGUAAGGCCAAGAGAGCUCCCCAGCUUGGUAGGCGGACGUUGCUGAGAAGUAUGUUGCUCCAGUGAGGAAAGAAUAAAGAGAAAUGUGGGCAGGUUGGGGACAGCUCUUCCAAGCUGUAGGGGACAACCACCUUGAAAACGUGUUAGGGUUCAGUGAAGGCCUUUGGGCCAGUGGGAGAGCGAGAGGCUGGGCUAGAAGAGUGUGUAGUCUUGAAAGUCUGUCUACACCUCCCCAAACCACUGGAGUCUUAGUUCCACGAUGUGUGUGACCUGUGCAAACCAGCAGUCUCUGCUUGAAGUCAGACCACGCAGGCAGAAAAGCCUUUCUUGAGCAUUUGAACCAGUAACUGCUAUGGGCUGUCUGGGAGAAAGAGAUGGACAGUCACGAAUGGAUGGAACCUCUCACCACUCUUGGGCAGUAACAACAAAAAGGGAGGUGGAAACUUCCCAUCUGCUUGGGAAAUUCUGGCAGCUUGCUCAGUCAGAAAGAGGAAAGAUUAAAACAAAACCCAGUUCUGUGGACUCCAAAGGCCACACUCUUGCUUCUCCAACACACUAUGGAGAAAACCAGGAUGUCAGUGGCCACUGAGGGGGAGGAGGUCCUGAGCUAUCUCACACUCAGGAUCACCCACUGCUUCUGUUAUAUUUUGCUAUAGGUGGCAUUGGCUCAAGCCCCUGGAUAGCUAAAAGUUCCAAAGUGUCCGCUCACUUGGCUUAAAGCAUUGUACUGCCUCCUAGCGGGGGUCUUGGCGCUUCUGCAUAUGUACCUCCUCCAUGCAGCUGCUUGGGUUUCCUCAUGCAAUGGCAGCUCUAAGAAGACCUGUCCCCCAAGAUGGGACAGAAUGAGCUAGAUCUCCUGAGGGCAGCAGUGGAAGUUUCUCAGGGUCCCAUGUGCCAUAUUUUAUUGGCCUAAAUAAGAAACAAGGCCAGCCAACCUCAAGCAGAAGAGAAAUGGACUCCAACUCUUGAAGAACUUUUGGCCUUACCCACCAUCCUCUGGUAUAAAACAGAGCCUUGACUUGCUUUUUAUCAGAAAUAAUUUCCUCGCCCAAGUGUGUGGUAUUUUUUCAAUCUGGGUCUGUCAUGGUUUGUUCUGUGUCCUGCUCCAAAAUAAAAACUGUUCUGUGGCACUUUUGAGUCCAACCAGAUAAU
rnacentral:lncRNA from 1 species